UACGUAGGCAGCGAGCGUUGUUCGGAGUUACUGGGCGUAAAGGGCGCGUAGGCGGCCACCGCAAGUCGGUUGUGAAAUCUCUGGGCUUAACCCAGAAAGGUCAACCGAUACUGCGGGGCUAGAGUGCAGAAGGGGCAACUGGAAUUCUCGGUGUAGCGGUGAAAUGCGUAGAUAUCGAGAGGAACACCUGCGGCGAAGGCGGGUUGCUGGGCUGACACUGACGCUGAAGCGCGAAAGCUAGGGGAGCGAACGGG
rnacentral:rRNA from 1 species